rnacentral:rRNA from 1 species
UACAGAGGAUGCAAGCGUUGUCCGGAAUCAUUGGGCGUAAAGAGCGUGUAGGCGGCCAGAUAAGUCCGCUGUGAAAUCUCGAGGCUCAACUUCGAGCUGUCGGUGGAAACUGUCUGGCUAGAGUCCGGAAGAGGAGAAUGGAAUUCCUGGUGUAGCGGUGAAAUGCGCAGAUAUCAGGAAGAACACCCGUGGCGAAGGCGGUUCUCUGGGACGGUACUGACGCUGAGACGCGAAAGCGUGGGGAGCGAACAGG